rnacentral:lncRNA from 1 species
AAAAACAAAUCUACAAGUAGAUGAGCGCAAUUGGCACCCGUUGGAUUCCAAUAGUCUGUUGGAUGACCAAACCUCCAAAUUCACAUAUUAAGAAGUCUUGUGUCAUAAAUCUAAUAUAUGGAAACGUUAUCCUUGACAACUAAAAAUAGCCUGUAUUGAAAUCAAAAGCAAAAACACACUCGUGGGUCAGUUUUUGUCAAAACUAAAAACGAGAAGGAUCAAGCAUAUCGUUUUUGUGUACUCAACGUAUCCGACGAACGAGUUUUGUGUAUUAACAUGAAUGAAUAAUUUUUUAUAAAUAUUUUUUUCUUAAUCAUUGCCAGUUUCAUGUGAAUUUAACGACCAUAAUCAAUUCCAUAUUCGUUAUUCAACGAUAUUGUUGACCUUGUAUGAUCAUCACACAUA